rnacentral:rRNA from 1 species
CAGCAGCCACGGGAAUACGUAGGGUGCGAGCGUUAAUCGGAAUUACUGGGCGUAAAGCGUGCGCAGGCGGUUCGUUAAGACAGAUGUGAAAUCCCCGGGCUUAACCUGGGAUCUGCAUUUGUGACUGGCGAGCUAGAGUAUGGCAGAGGGGGGUAGAAAUCCACGUGUAGCAGUGAAAUGCGUAGAGAUGUGGAGGAAUACCGAUGGCGAAGGCAGCCCCCUGGGCCAAUACUGACGCUCAUGCACGAAAGCGUGGGGAGCAAACAGGAUUAGAUACCCCAGUAGUCCCUGUCUCUUAUAC